CACAGAGUUAGCCGUGGCUUAUUCAUAGGGUACCAUCAUUAUUGUCCCCUACAAAAGGAGUUUACAACCCGAAGGCCUUCGUCCUCCACGCGGCGUCGCUGCGUCAGGGUUUCCCCCAUUGCGCAAUAUUCCCCA
rnacentral:rRNA from 1 species